UGGAGCAUGUGGUUUAAUUCGAAGCAACGCGAAGAACCUUACCAGGUCUUGACAUCCCGAUGCUUAUUUCUAGAGAUAGAAAGUUACUUCGGUACAUCGGUGACAGGUGGUGCAUGGUUGUCGUCAGCUCGUGUCGUGAGAUGUUGGGUUAAGUCCCGCAACGAGCGCAACCCCUAUUGUUAGUUGCCAUCAUUCAGUUGGGCACUCUAGCGAGACUGCCGGUAAUAAACCGGAGGAAGGUGGGGAUGACGUCAAAUCAUCAUGCCCCGUAUGACCUGGGCUACACACGUGCUACAAUGGUUGGUACAACGAGUUGCGAGUCGGUGACGGCGAGCUAAUCUCUUAAAGCCAAUCUCAGUUCGGAUUGUAGGCUGCAACUCGCCUACAUGAAGUCGGAAUCGCUAGUAAUCGCGGAUCAGCACGCCGCGGUGAAUACGUUCCCGGGCCUG
rnacentral:rRNA from 1 species